rnacentral:rRNA from 1 species
AUGAAGGUCAAGGGGGUUCCCGGUGGACAGAAACGUGCCCUACACAGAGAGGCUGAAAAUUCAGGCCGACAUUGUGAACCCCAAGACCUGCAGCUUAGUGCAGUCGAGGGGAGGCUUGUGCAGUCCUACAACCAAAAGCCAGUGUUGUCUAGACCUCAGCACAAAUUCUACAAGGGCUCAAACUACUUUGAGAUCGAUGUCGACGUGCACUGGUUCAGCUGCAUAUCAUGAAAGGGCCUCGAGACCUUCCGAGAGCGGCACAAAGAUGGCGUCAUCGAUCUUGGGCUGACCAUUCAGGUACUUACGUUUCCUUGUGUUCUUAGCCUUGGGACUAGUUGGCAUGAGGAGUAUUUUGUUCAGAGGAAGGCUAAAGUAUGA